UUUCGGUACUUUUAGGGGGCCCUAAAAGUCGACUUUUUGUUCGAGUCAAAAUUUGAGAAAAUGUUCUUCAUGAAAGUUGUAGAGGACAUUAAACCGAGCGCGUGCAUAUGUGGUACGUAAAAAUCGGAGCUCGUAUGUGAAAGUUAUAAGCGAAAAUGCAAAAAUUACUGUUUAUAGUAAGUAGUAUAAAUUUGAAAAAGUUACUGUUGGGGUUAUUUUUUUUCCCAUUCUCUCUCUCCUCCCGCGCGCUCUCUCUUUCUCCUCUGCGCGUUCUCUCUCUCUCCUCUGCAACUCUGGUUGCUUUCUCUUUCCGACCACCAAAAAGCGUGAAACCGGUGGCUACGGACUCGUCUCGACUUCCUCUUGGCGCCUGCGGUGGUGGCUCACGGCGGCUUGGCCGGAAAACGAAGCAUCGGGUCCUUGAAGUUUCACUGUAGCAAAUUGGUCAACGCCGGUUUCUCCUGAUUCCGGCCACCUCCGGCGACGAACCAUAAUCAUUUGGAAGCGGCUUGCGAUGUAGAUGAUACUCCCCAAAUCUUUUGCAGCGAUUUGAAGCGUGGAGGAAGAAUUGAAGGGCAAUGUUGCGAGCUACGGCUAGAUGAAGGAACUCGUUUUCGUGGUCGCCAACCAGUAUUUUUGCAGGCUAGAUUAGUUGAGGUCGGGCGUACAUGGAGUCGAGGCAUAGUCAACAGCAUUGCUUCCGCGUACUCAUUCUAUUUCUAUUUUCUUUGUUACCUAGUGGAUUAGUAUUGCUCUGAUAACCUGUGGGAUUAAUAUUAUUUUAUUUUAUUUUUGGGUUGAGACUGGUAUUUGUGUCAUUGGAGUUGUGAUUUGGGGAGCAGGUGGCUCCAGGUGUUUAAAGAUGGUUUGUUUAGAAGUGUAAUGCGUGUUGUACAGGUUUGGGUAGUCCACUUUUAGGGGUGACUCUGCUGAAUUUUCGGUAGAGUUAUUCUUAAGGUGGGCCCCACAGGGCCACCUCGGAUUUCAGGGUGAAAUUCGGGGUGGGUCCUGUCAGUAACUCUGCUGAAUUUUUUGUAGAGUUAUUCCUAAGGUGGGCCCCAUAGGGUCAACUGGGAGUUCAGGAUAUAAUU